GAGUGUAAGUGCACAAGGGAGCUUGACUGUGAGACUGACGGGUCGAGCAGGAGCGAAAGCUGGGACUAGUGAUCCGGCAUCGGCAUGUGGAAGCGGUGUCGCUCAACGGCUAAAAGGUACCCCGGGGAUAACAGGCUGAUCUUCCCCAAGAGUCCAUAUCGACGGGAUGGUUUGGCACCUCGAUGUCGGCUCGUCGCAUCCUGGGGCUGGAGUAGGUCCCAAGGGUUGGGCUGUUCGCCCAUUAAA
rnacentral:rRNA from 1 species